AAAGUAGCAAUACUUUGGUGGCGACCGGCGCACGGGUGAGUAACGCGUAUGCAACCCCCUUAUCAGAGGGGAAUAACCCGGCGAAAGUCGGACUAAUACCUCAUAAAACAGGGACACCGCAUGGUGAUAUUUGUUAAAGAAAUUCGCUGAUAGAUGGGCAUGCGUUCCAUUAGGUAGUUGGUGAGGUAACGGCUCACCAAGCCGACGAUGGAUAGGGGAACUGAGAGGUUGGUCCCCCACACUGGUACUGAGACACGGACCAGACUCCUACGGGAGGCAGCAGUGAGGAAUAUUGGUCAAUGGGCGAGAGCCUGAACCAGCCAAGUCGCGUGAAGGAAGAAGGAUCUAUGGUUCGUAAACUUCUUUUAUAGGGGAAUAAAGUGCGGAACGUGUUCCGUUUUGUAUGUACCCUACGAAUAAGGAUCGGCUAACUCCGUGCCAGCAGCCGCGGUAAUACGGAGGAUCCGAGCGUUAUCCGGAUUUAUUGGGUUUAAAGGGAGCGUAGGUGGACGUAUAAGUCAGUUGUGAAAGUUUGCGGCUCAACCGUAAAAUUGCAGUUGAUACUGUAUGUCUUGAGUGUACAAGAGGUGGGCGGAAUUCGUGGUGUAGCGGUGAAAUGCUUAGAUAUCACGAAGAACUCCGAUUG
rnacentral:rRNA from 1 species